GCCAUCCAAUUUUUCUGAUUUAGAUUUUGAGAAUCUGCUCGAUAUAACUUCUGACAGUCAACUAAGCCAAACAUUUAAAGAAGUUUCUCUUAUUGCUUUUUGGGGUGAUUAACGCGAAGAAUACCCAGAAUUGUCCAAGCGGGCAAUCAAAGUUCUGUUGCCAUCCACCAGCACGUACUUAUGUGAAACUGGAUUCUCGCUUUACUC